GCAGGGGAGCUGCCUCGGGUUUGGGUACCUUCCCAGGGCGUGAGGAGCCUUUCCUUCUGAGCAGCUCAAUGCAUCUUCCUAAGGGUAGCUUUUAAUGCCUAACUGUUUCAUAUUGGUUUACAGAAAAUAAAGAUAUAUAGUGUCAUUCACAGGUCAUAACCAAGAAAGUGAGGAUUCAACAAACUCAAAGGAGACAGGGACAUUGCAGACAGAAUCCAGGCAGUUGAGGUCUAGCUGCAUCAGAACUGCCUGUACCACGUUUAUCCCGUGCAGCAAAAUACCAUCAACAUUGGGACAGCUUGCUCAGAGGAGUUUUGGAAUCUCUGCCUGUGGAGAUGUUCACAGCCCAACUGAAGAAGAUCUGGACAACCUGCUCCAGCUCACCCUGCCUGAAUGUCUCAAGAGAUCCCUUCCAACAGUCCUGGCCUGUAUUAGUGCUGUUCCUAAGUCUGAAUGUGUCUUUUUAAAACCAUAAAAAAGUCAACCCCAUAGCAAUUUAUUCAAAAUCUUCUCCUCACCGUCAGUUCACUUUGAGCUGUGCUGUCUCCAAAGUGCCCUUUUGGUGUGAAAGGGUUAAGGUGCUCUGGGGCUUGCCUGGCUCUGGCUGGGAGAGCUGCCUGCUGGUAGGAGCAAUGCUUCCCUAAAUGGCACUGAGCUCCCUGGCUGCCCUUCAAAGGCUUUCUGCUUUGUUCAGGCAGCCUCACUUUCUAGUUCAGAUGGCAACAGAGAGACCUCUAGGUAGGGACAGAGAAUAAUCCCUACCUGUUUUCACAUCUUGCAUCACCUGGGCAGCAAAACCUUAUCUUUAACAGAAUUAACAAAUACUGGUGUGUGAAACUGGAAGAAAGGAUAAUAUGAGAAGUUACAUCACAUUUGACUCUUGCCUCAGCUGCAAUUAGAGCUGAUGCUGUGGUUUGUAGUUUGUAAAAUACAUCAUGUGCAGCAUAAUGCACAAUGUUCACCUUUUAAACCCAUCUGAUACAUAUUCUAUGGUUUUUAUUAAAAAGCAGAUAAUAUGUCUCUACUUUGAUAAAUGGCUAAUCUUCAGUUCUGACAUGUCAUGAUGCCUUAGCACUCAUGAAGUGUCAUGAACAGAAAUAAUUGCAAGCCUUGGUGAAUUUUCAUCUGCAGUCAGGUAAUAGUUUAUGUCAGGUACUGCCCUCAAACAUAUUUGGUCUGGCCUUUCAAGAGACAAGCCUUACAAAACACAGGAUUCUCCUCCAGGAGUCAGGUACGACAUAAAAGAAUUGGGGCUUUUAUGAGAUCCCACUGUGAUGAUAGGAUGUGUUCCUGGCUGUAGAAACAGGAGGAAACUUGAGUAGGAGGAGAGAGGUUCUUGACUGCCAUGGUCACAGUCAGGCUGUGAUGCCCACAGUUUAAGAAGAAUUUUUUAAAAAUUGCCCAGACUCUAAAGAAAAGCUUUGCAAAUGCCUGGUAUUGUGGUGAGCACUUCAUAGGGACUAAUUCAGAAUCUGCAUCCAUUCAGCUUAUCAAAGAGCCUGGCUUGAUCAUGGUGUGGGUGCUGCUGUGGUGAGCAGAACUGCAGUGAGGGAGACGUGGUAUCAACAAUUUAACAAAAUUCAGAGGCUGCCACUUGAAUCAAGAUGAAGAAACAAAUGUUCAGAUGUGUAAGGGAGGGCCUGGAUGUUUCUUUUGUAAGGGGUUCUUUUAUUGUUACAGAAGUUAAUUCAGGUAAGCCCUGUAACUGAUGAUAAGGAAGACAAAGCCUUUCCUUUACAAAUCUUUAAAUUGUUCUGUCUUUGUCUGAAUUUGUUGGGGAAAUUGACUUGAUUGAAUUUGCAUAGCUGUAAGUAGAUUAAGGUAUUCUCAGCAUACUCGAGAUAGUUUUUCUGCCAUUGAAAAAAAAUAGGUUAUUUCAUUAUCAGCUAUUUUUCUCUUUACACCUAAAGAAAUGGGGGAAAAAGGAGGCUGAGUUUCUAGGCUGUGAUUCCUGACAGAAAAAUCCCAAUCACAGUGUCUGCCAUGGGGCAUUGCCUCAGUCAGUCAGUUAGACCAGGGCAGAAAACAGUGCUUUAGCCAGACUGUAAAUAAAGUAAUGAGGUCAUUGCUGAUGCAAACUGACAGCUCAGUGACAGACAGUGAUUAUAGCAUCAGUCUGGUGCAUUUUAUAUAGUACAUAAUUAGCACAGGUAAUGUCUAAGAUGGUGCAAUGGAGGGUGGGCAGCAAGACCUGACAAGUCACCAGGAAACAAAGUGAGACUUCUCUUACUGCAUGUCCCAAGAGACCUGUGCCCAGUGUCCAGUUACUGCUGAGACUCUGGACAUGCAUCACCAGUGUUACUGAACAAAUGUUAGCUUCCCUUUCUCUAACAUCUAUAAUCAUUCUGGUAAGAUCUUAACUAUUCCAUUAACAGUACAUGUGUAAACAAUGGAGGAUUUAAUGCAAAUCUCUGUACAGGACUGUUUUAUAGAACAGAGGUAUACAUGCACAGCAUUUAUUGGAACUGGGGCUAUGAAGCAUGCUGGUAGCUUUUGCUGGGGCUGGAAGGUACUUGAUGCAUUUGUGGGGUUUUUUCGUGGUUUGGUUAUUUUUAUCAGUCAGAGUAAGUGUUUAUUAAGGAGUGAUGUCAGAUUUGAUAGUUUCAGCAGCUAACAUAAAUAGGCUGCAAUGCAAAGUCUGAUGAUAAAUCAGUUACCCAGCAAAGUUAAACUUAAAUGCCUUUCUCAGAUGUCUUUCAGAGUUUCAGAACUCUGCAUGGUGUCUGGAGACUUAAGCAUUAAUAUUUAAAUAGUGUAGUGAGAUUCUAUAAGGGAAGAUCUUAUUGAACUGUAGAAUUAUUUAAAGCUCUAGAAAUCUGCUGUCUGUAAAGAGUUAAAUUUUUUUCUGUCAUUGAGCAGUCUGCAAUCCACUUCAAAGACCUCUCAAAGUGCUAGCCUAAUAUUGUCCCUGUUCUUCCUUUCCAUUUUGCCUCCCAGGAGUGUGGCUUAGGCUGAACUUGCAAUGUUGGAGAGUCUGUGCAGUAGGUGAGGAAAUGAUGAGUUUUAAGCAUGCAAUGGGAGAAGGAAAGGAUAGGCAAGAAAAAGAAAUUCAUGUUCUGCUAGUAUUUCUAUGCAAAAGGACAUUCUUGUGCCUUUGACAGGGACAGCAUUUAAGACAAUCCUUUUCUUGCUAGACAAUGAUUUUAAAGAAAUUGGGCCGUGUAGUUUCCUGCCAUGCUUGGGGAAGGCUGAGCUGGAGACUCGCCCAGUAGCUGUGAAAGAAAUGUACAGUGUUAUAACUGAGCACAGAAACAAUGCAGACAUAAAACUUUCCAACUGGAUAAUACAGAUGGUUAGAUUUCAAUAAGGAAAACUUGUUCUUGUGGGAAGAAACUACACUGUAACAUAGCAUGUUAUACAAGUCAUUUUUUCUCAGCUGAGAGUACUUGAAACAGUAACUACAGAAUGACUUGUACAUUCAGUUCUCUGGAACCUGCCCCCCCUCCAGACAUCUGAAAAAACAACUCCUGGUUAUGAAAGCCUUCUCCAACUCUGUUUGGAUGUCACAGUGCCA